rnacentral:rRNA from 1 species
UACGGGGGGAGCAAGCGUUGUUCGGAUUUACUGGGCGUAAAGGGCGCGUAGGCGGCCACCGCAAGUCGGUUGUGAAAUCUCCGGGCUUAACCCGGAAAGGUCAAUCGAUACUGCGGGGCUAGAGUGCAGAAGGGGCAACUGGAAUUCUCGGUGUAGCGGUGAAAUGCGUAGAUAUCGAGAGGAACACCUGCGGCGAAGGCGGGUUGCUGGGCUGACACUGACGCUGAAGCGCGAAAACUAGGGGAGCGAACGGG